AUUGAACGCUGGCGGCGGGCCUAACACAUGCAAGUCGAGCGGAUGAAGGGAGCUUGCUCCUGGAUUCAGCGGCGGACGGGUGAGUAAUGCCUAGGAAUCUGCCUGGUAGUGGGGGAUAACGUCCGGAAACGGGCGCUAGUACCGCAUACGUCCUGAGGGAGAAAGUGGGGGAUCUUCGGACCUCACGCUAUCAGAUGAGCCUAGGUCGGAUUAGCUAGUUGGUGGGGUAAAGGCCUACCAAGGCGACGAUCCGUAACUGGUCUGAGAGGAUGAUCAGUCACACUGGAACUGAGACACGGUCCAGACUCCUACGGGAGGCAGCAGUGGGGAAUAUUGGACAAUGGGCGAAAGCCUGAUCCAGCCAUGCCGCGUGUGUGAAGAAGGUCUUCGGAUUGUAAAGCACUUUAAGUUGGGAGGAAGGGCAGUAAGUUAAUACCUUGCUGUUUUGACGUUACCAACAGAAUAAGCACCGGCUAACUUCGUG
rnacentral:rRNA from 1 species